rnacentral:tmRNA from 1 species
GGGGCCGACCUGGCUUCGACGCGGGUUCGGAGUUGGAACAGGGCAUGCCGAGCACCAGUUCGCUCGUAAAUCCACUGGAAACAAAGUAACUGCGAACGAUCAAACGUACGCUCUCGCCGCUUAAUACCGGUGAGCCUCGCAACAGUUGGCCGAUGGGCUGGGCCUGAGAGGUAACUCGAAGGCUGCGAGGUCAUACACAUGGGCUCGUUCCGGGUUGCGCCAUUCAGCCCGGAAUCAAAUCAAGUGGAUCGGGACGGGGGUAGCGUGCUGCUGCGCGACCCACGGCCCUAAAACCAAAUCAGCCAGCUAAGCAUGUAGAUCUGCCUGACAAAGGCCAGCGGACGGGGGUUCGAUUCCCCCCGGCUCCACCA